rnacentral:rRNA from 1 species
GACGAACGCUGGCGGCGUGCUUAACACAUGCAAGUCGAACGGUAAGGCCCUUCGGGGUACACGAGUGGCGAACGGGUGAGUAACACGUGGGUGAUCUGCCCUGCACUUCGGGAUAAGCCUGGGAAACUGGGUCUAAUACCGGAUAGGACUCCGGACUGCAUGGUCUGGGGUGGAAAGCUUUUGCGGGGUGGGAUGGGCCCGCGGCCUAUCAGCUUGUUGGUGGGGUGAUGGCCUACCAAGGCGACGACGGGUAGCCGGCCUGAGAGGGUGACCGGCCACACUGGGACUGAGAUACGGCCCAGACUCCUACGGGAGGCAGCAGUGGGGAAUAUUGCACAAUGGGCGCAAGCCUGAUGCAGCGACGCCGCGUGAGGGAUGACGGCCUUCGGGUUGUAAACCUCUUUCAGCAUCGACGAAGCGAAAGUGACGGUAGGUGCAGAAGAAGGACCGGCCAACUACGUGCCAGCAGCCGCCGUAAAAC